GACGAACGCUGGCGGCGUGCUUAACACAUGCAAGUCGAACGGAAAGGCCCUGCUUUUGUGGGGUGCUCGAGUGGCGAACGGGUGAGUAACACGUGAGUAACCUGCCCUUGACUUUGGGAUAACUUCAGGAAACUGGGGCUAAUACCGGAUAGGGGCUCCUGCUGCAUGGUGGGGGUUGGAAAGUUUCGGCGGUUGGGGAUGGACUCGCGGCUUAUCAGCUUGUUGGUGGGGUAGUGGCUUACCAAGGCUUUGACGGGUAGCCGGCCUGAGAGGGUGACCGGCCACAUUGGGACUGAGAUACGGCCCAGACUCCUACGGGAGGCAGCAGUGGGGAAUAUUGCACAAUGGGCGGAAGCCUGAUGCAGCAACGCCGCGUGCGGGAUGACGGCCUUCGGGUUGUAAACCGCUUUCGCCUGUGACGAAGCGUGAGUGACGGUAAUGGGUAAAGAAGCACCGGCUAACUACGUGCCAGCAGCCGCGGUGAUACGUAGGGUGCGAGCGUUGUCCGGAUUUAUUGGGCGUAAAGGGCUCGUAGGUGGUUGAUCGCGUCGGAAGUGUAAUCUUGGGGCUUAACCCUGAGCGUGCUUUCGAUACGGGUUGACUUGAGGAAGGUAGGGGAGAAUGGAAUUCCUGGUGGAGCGGUGGAAUGCGCAGAUACCAGGAGGAACACCAGUGGCGAAGGCGGUUCUCUGGGCCUUUCCUGACGCUGAGGAGCGAAAGCGUGGGGAGCGAACAGGCUUAGAUACCCUGGUAGUCCACGCUGUAAACGGUGGGUACUAGGUGUGGGGUCCAUUCCACGGGUUCCGUGCCGUAGCUAACGCUUUAAGUACCCCGCCUGGGGAGUACGGCCGCAAGGCUAAAACUCAAAGGAAUUGACGGGGCCCCGCACAAGCGGCGGAGCAUGCGGAUUAAUUCGAUGCAACGCGUAGAACCUUACCUGGGUUUGACAUGGAUCGGGAGUGUUCAGAGAUGGGUGUGCCUCUUUUGGGGUCGGUUCACAGGUGGUGCAUGGCUGUCGUCAGCUCGUGUCGUGAGAUGUUGGGUUAAGUCCCGCAACGAGCGCAACCCUUGUUCACUGUUGCCAGCACGUUAUGGUGGGGACUCAGUGGAGACCGCCGGGGUCAACUCGGAGGAAGGUGGGGAUGACGUCAAGUCAUCAUGCCCCUUAUGUCCAGGGCUUCACGCAUGCUACAAUGGCUGGUACAGAGAGUGGCGAGCCUGUGAGGGUGAGCGAAUCUCGGAAAGCCGGUCUCAGUUCGGAUUGGGGUCUGCAACUCGACCUCAUGAAGUCGGAGUCGCUAGUAAUCGCAGAUCAGCAACGCUGCGGUGAAAAAGUUCCCGGGGCU
rnacentral:rRNA from 1 species